rnacentral:tRNA from 1 species
GGAGAGGUGCUGGAGUGGCCUAUCAGGCGCGCCUGGAGAGCGCGUGUCGCCAUACUUGGCGACCGUGGGUUCGAAUCCCACCCUCUCCGCCA